AGUGAACGCUGGCGGUAGGCCUAACACAUGCAAGUCGAACGGCAGCACAGUAAGAGCUUGCUCUUACGGGUGGCGAGUGGCGGACGGGUGAGGAAUACAUCGGAAUCUACUUUUUCGUGGGUGAUAACGUAGGGAAACUUACGCUAAUACCGCAUACGACCUACGGGUGAAAGCAGGGGAUCUUCGGACCUUUCGCGAUUGAAUGAGCCGAUGUCGGAUUAGCUAGUUGGCGGGGUAAAGGCUCACCAAGGCGACGAUCCGUAGCUGGUCUGAGAGGAUGAUCAGCCACACUGGAACUGAGACACGGUCCAGACUCCUACGGGAGGCAGCAGUGGGGAAUAUUGGACAAAGGGCGCAAGCCUGAUCCAGCCAUACCGCGUGGGUGAAGAAGGCCUUCGGGUUGUAAAGCCCUUUUGUUGGGAAAGAAAAGCAGCAGGUUAAUACCCCGCUGUUUUGACGGUACCCAAAGAAUAAGCACCGGCUAACUUCGUG
rnacentral:rRNA from 1 species